ACCUACACGCACAGAAUCAGUACCGGUUAAUUUUAAUAUUGGAUUUAUUGUGGAAAAUUAUAACUCGUUAGGAUAAUUAAUUGAGGAUUGAAGAGGGAUCGUGUAGACAGAGCACAUACAGGAACAUGGGAGUCCCUUGCGUUCCUCUUUGGGUCAGUAGCAGAGAAGACAGUGUAGACGAGAACAAAGGUACCGAUGAUCUCAGCACCUAAUCCAGUGCCCUUGCUGAAUCCUGUAGCAAGUUCAUUGACUCCACCACCGUACUUUGUGUAAUACGACUUUUGGAAAGCUUUCACGAGUCCACAUCCACAUAUGGCCCCCAAGCACUGAGCCACCAUGUAUAGAACGGCACGCACCAGGGACACCUUCCUAGCCAAGAACAAACCGAAAGUCACAGCCGGGUUAAUGUGUCCACCUGCAUAAUUUUUAGCAAGAUUAAUUAAUUACUUACUUAGUCCCAUAUUCAUAAAAGAAGAAGAAGAAGAAAGGGUUGUAAGAUCUCCGUUAUGCAUAUAUAUGAUCAUUUUUAUUUGAUUUACUGACCUGAGAUACCAGCAGUGCAGUAGACAAGAACAAAGAUCAUGCCACCAAAGGCCCAAGCGAUGCCAAGAAUGCCAACCCCACCACAUGCAUCGCUGUUCUUGGUCGUGUCAGUCUGGCUCUUGUAACCUAUCACAGUCAACACAGUGAUGUAGAGAAACAAGAGCGUGGCAAUGAACUCGGCAAUGAUAGCCCUAUACAAAGACCACUGGGUGAGCUCCUCGGCAUCAAUCAAUGGUGCUGGUGGAGGGUCAUGAUAGUCCUUGGCACUGAAUUCGCCUCCAACUUCAAUGUCCUUGCCCAUAUCUUUUGAUGAGACUUGAGUGACAAAGCUAAAGAGGUUUGCUUGCUAUUAUUGACGAAUGAAAGCCAAGGUGGUGUGGUAUUUAUGGGAAUAAAGAUAUGGUGAUGACUGAGGAGUGGGUGCUAAAUUAACUUAUCUUUGCCGCCCCCACUCAUAAUUGUUGUUUCUUAAACUUUCUGUGUCCCCAUCUCAUACUUGUGCUUAUCUGGCCUUGUGUGGUUCGGCUGCUUUAAAGACAGUUCUUGUAAGUUCUUCUAAAUUGUCGCCCAGUUCUUCAAUGUCUACUUCACGGUUUUCACUGUGUGGCCAGUUUACAUUUAUCAAUAUGGAAUUGCCGAGGGAUGAUCACAAUUGAAAUACAUUCACUGACAAUGUAGUCCAGUUAACUGGACGUGUUAAUUAUGAUAUUCUAGUGAACCCUAAUUAAUGGAGUCCAGUUUUUUUCUAUGAAAUAGUAUAGUUAAUAAUUAAUUUUAUGAUUCGAUAACUUUGAUAUAUAUAGUUGUAUUAUUUUUAGAUUUUAAUAUUAUUGAUUUUUAAAAAAACUUUAAAGCAUUUUUAGAGUUUUUAUAGAUAUAAUAAAGUGAUAAUAACAUACUAUAUAGAUUAGGAGUGGUUUAAGAAGCUUAGUUUAUGUUAUUUCAGAUUUUAUAUGGUUAAUAAAUAAGAAAAUAAUGAAAAAAUGGGAUAGAUUUAUUUUUUAGAAUUCAACAAUUUAUGUCUAAGAGUUUUUUAAUGUAGAUUUUUUCCUUAUUUAAUGUAAUUUUUUAAUAUAAUAUUAUAAUAUUAGUAUUAUAUUAUAUUAAAAACAUAAUCAUCAAUUUUUUUUUAAUUGUGUUUUUGUAUAUAGCUAUAGAUGGAGACAAACCAACUUUGUUUCAGUUAAAUAGAGCAUGUUUGUUUUUGUAGUUAAAAAAAUGUUUUUAUAAAAUUUUAAUUUCUUUUUUUAAAUUUUUUUAAAUGAUUUUAAUAUGUUAAUAUUAAAAAAAAAAUAAAGAAGGUGAAGGCAGCUUAUUGUGAAUCAUGAUGACGAAAGUCCAAACCGACCAAAUACAAUAACAAAUCAUUCAGCUACUCUGUCCAGCAUGUUAUCAUCUUUCAUUCUCGUAACCACUCACUCCAUGCCACGUUAUCUUGACCCCACAGAGCAACCCAAUCCUCGCUCGAGAAUUCUUGUGUUGUGCUUAUCACUGAUACGUCACUCUCCUAACAAAAAAAAAAAAGCAUUUUUAAGGGAAAAACGAAAUCAGCAAAUAGAAACAUUCUGGUUGUUAUUUCGCCACGUGUCACGCAUCGGCAAAUCAUGGAAAAUUGUCCUAUAUAAUAUAUUUGGUCGGCUGUCCACUAGUGGAGAAGGCAUCGCGAGCUUCAACCGCAGAGGUUGACAUGAGAUUAUAGCAUGUCAUGCAAUAAUUACUGUCGAAUUUUGUCUGCAUUUUUCAAUUUGAUGCUAGUCGGCUCUGCAAUUGUAAAAUCCGAGUUGUUAGGUGGUCACCUUUUAUUUUUCUAUUUAGAAUUAUUUUUAGAUGUAUUUUAAAAAUAUAUUUAGUUUAAAAAGAUUUUAAAUUAAUAGAUAUUAACAAAUAAUGAUUAUCAUAAAAUACUAUAUGAGAAAACUUUGUCUUAAAAAAAUCUUCUGGGGAAUAUUAGGAAUCCCCAUGUCCUAUACAAAAUUUCUUCUCACAAUUAGCUCGAUGAUUAAGCUUUAUAAUUAUUUUAAUUUAUUUUUUAUUUAGUUAUUUCAAUUAAAUAAUUCAAGUCGCUGGUUUAACAAGUUAAUUUAGCUUGAUUUUAAUUAUUUUUUUGGAUUUUUUAAUUGAUUUUUUUUUCAAUUUUACUAUUUAAUAUUAAUUUAUUGAAAGCUAAGUUUUAUAAUUUAUUUUGAUUUGCUUUCUAUAGGGUUAUCAUGGUCGCAUGACUCGACAUGCAAAUUGACAGGUUAACCCGAGUUGACCUGAAUCAAUUUAAUAUGUUGUCAUUUUGAUAUUUAUAAAAAGAUCUCAUCUUGAAAAUUUAUUUUGAGUAAACCAUGUUUUCAUUGGUUAUCUGGGUUGUUUUUGAACUCAUUAAGUCAACCGGGUUAUAUUGAGUCAAUCUCCACACGGUUUUAAAAAACAUUUUUUACUAGCAAAAAAAUGAGUAAUGCCUAAUUUUUUUUUAUGUUAAUUUUUUUUAAUUCAACCGGCAGUAUAGUUCGAGCCAAUAAUUUAGUCAAUAAAUAUAUUAAAAGAAAAAGAAAAAUUACUCUGAUUAUUUUGUAGUUUAGCUUCUUCUUUUUUCAUUUUUUUUUCUAUUCUUUUAAAAAUUACAAUUUAUAUCUAAUGAUUUAUAAUUUGAUAACAAUUUAUAUGUACAUAAAAAAAUAACAAAAAGAUCAAAUUAUUUGUAAGAAUGCUAUUAUAUUUCAAGUAAUGACUAAAUGGCCCUUAUAUUGAAAGAAUUAUCAUACAAUAAGAAAAUACUUUUUUUUUUAUUAUUUUUAGUGUUCAAAUUACAAAGCUGCCAUAAUUAUAAGAUUCUUUUUAUUUUGGAUUUUUAUAAAACACUCUCUGUUCAAACAUGAGCCCUCUGCUUUCUUACGAUCUUUCCAUUCUUGCAUAGUUGUUUGCAUCAGUUGUGAUUUGCCUCUCCAGCUUACCAUUAUGAAGAUUAAGGAUGAGAUGGAGAAGACACUGCAGUUAAAUUGCCUCUCCAACUAAGAAAUUUAGCUUUGGCAGUAAACAUUUCAAUCCUCAUAAACAUAUUUCCUCUCCUCAUUCCUGCCAUUAAAUUGCCUUGGGGCAGAGAAGGUAGCACACAAACAUUUCGAGUCAAUGAGCAGGGAUUACGGGAUCACUCCCGCAGUAUAGCAUUAUGAAGCUAAAGUUGAUCUUCUUAGAGAUCAGGAAAGAUAGCGGAGGCAAAGGAGUUUGUUGCAAAUAUGCCAAUUGAUCCAAACACCAGAGUUUGGGAGACUCUAAAGAAGUACUCGAAAGCCAGAACACAAGGUUUGUGCUUCAUGAUCUUGACCAAGAGGCAAAGGAGAAGGCAUUGUUCUCCCAUAGUGAAAGGAUAGCCAUUGUUAAUGGGCCUACUAAUACUCCUCCCGGGACAACAUUAAGGAUAGUGAGAAAUCUAAGGAUUUGUGGGGACUUUUAUAAUCUUAUUGAAGGGGAUACAAAAAUUAAAAGAAAUAUUCUGGAAAGAAUUAUUUUUUGAGAUCCUUGUACAUCAUUCACAGUAUAUUCUACGACUUUCAUUUCAAGACUGCAAUGACUUCUUUUUUACUGGAUUUCUUCAGGGGGAUGUGAAUCUCUUCUGGGGGAUGUGAAUCUCUUCUUGAAUAGAUACCCCUUGGGUGUUGAUGGGGGAUCCUCCAAAGAUUAAGUCAAUACGAGGUAUUUUUAUGUGGCAAAAGACAUUAAUAAAAGUAUUAAUGAGCUUUUAUGAAGAUAGAGAUGAAUAAGAAGAAGAAGACGUAGAAGUUAGAGAAGAAGAAGCAGGAUUGUGUUUAUGUCUAGAGUAUAAGGUUUCCAACAUUUUUUUUGUAUACCCAUGCUUUUUAUAUUACAUGACUUAACUUGCUUCAUACAACGUAAGAGGGGUGGAGAUGUAAUCUCAUAAUAAUAAAAUAAUAUUAUUUUACUGCUCGUGCCAUCGCAUCUAAUUAAUAUAAAUAUGGACCACUUGUUCGUAUUUAAUGGGAUGUGAUGGGUAUUAUAAUUACUAGUCUAGGCCCGGAGUAUGGGAGACUUAGUGUUGAGUUACCUUUUAGCUAUACACUGAACUUGAAAGGAGUUUGGUUCAACUUAUACACUGAACCCAAAAAGAAUCGAGUUAGCUUUUGACUACACCCAAGAAUGGUCAGGGAUGGGCACACAAUAGCCCGACGUGGAGUUCUUUGUGAACGUGUCCCUGACCUAACAUAGGGUUGGGCGCGGACGCACCGCCCAAUAUGGAGUUGGGCAUAGACGCGUUCCUGACCCAACAUGGGGUUGGGCGCGGACGCGUCACGACCCAACUUGGAGUUGAGCAGGGACGCGCCCUUACCCGAAUUAGGGUUGGGCGCAUCCUUACCUAACCUAGGGUUGGGAGCAGACGAGCCCUUGCCUAAUUUAGAGCUGGGCACAGGCAUGCCAUGACCCAAUAUGAAGUUGAGCGUCAAAAAGAUAUAAUUUUAUUAUAAGGAAGGUUUUUAGAAAACCAUGACCCACACUCAUCAUCAAUCAUCAAGAUCCUCUCUAAAAUUGAGAAACGAGAGAUUAUUGUGAGAGGCAAUAAGAGUUUUCAUCAUUUCAAGAUUGUAAACUGCCCCCAAAUCUUCACACUUUUUGCUUCAACGACCAGGGAUUAAGAAGGGCUGGUGUGAAUUUGAUUGAAAUUAGUACUCGAAAGACGACAGCAGCAAGGAAGUGAUGAGAUGUAACACAGCACAUAUUUCGUAUCACUCUUGUUAUCUUUUUAUCCCGAAAUCACUCGUGUUAAAGAUUGGUUCCCACUCGUCUCUAUUUUCCUUUUAUUUUACAAGAUGUAGUAACAAAGAGAAGGUAAAGAGAUUGGCUAAGACAAGCAAGAUGCAGCACUAGUUGAUUAUGAGAUAGGGAGAAAUUAAAAGACAGACAAGAUGAAAACGUUCGAGCACAAACAAAACAAGUGCCCAAUACGCACACGACCGUGACCAAUAUAGACAUCUUGACCACGACUGUGUACACAUUCCCCAGUUCCAAGCCCUUUUGGACUACUUGAAUCUUUGCGUUACACCAUUCAAUAACUUGAUGGAAGUAUUUCAGUGACCAUAUAUUAUACGGUCUUUAAAAUUAAAUGUUGGAAGAGCUCCUGAAGGACCCAAGGGCUUUAACAGCAGCUGCUCUCAGGACGUAUUGGUGAUACAAUGCAGCAAUUGCGGCCCCAAUGAAAGGCCCGACCCAGAAGAUCCACUGAGAAAACAAAAGCAAGGAAAUCAAAAUAUUUACAUGAGCAUGAAUAUACUUGUGAAAGAUGUGAAGCUAACAAGGAGAAAUGUUAAAGGGCACAUACAUGGUCAUCCCAUGCCUUGUCUUUGUUGUAUAUCACAGCAGCUCCAAAGCUCCUAGCUGGGUUGAUACCAGUUCCAGUGAUUGGAAUAGUGGCCAAGUGAACCAUGAAGACAGCAAAUCCGAUGGGAAGUGGUGCCAACACCUAGACGCACAGAAUCAGUACGGGUUAAUUUUAAUAUUGGAUUUAUUGUGGAAAAUGAUAACUCGUUAGGAUAAUUAAUUGAGGAUUGAAGAGGGAUCGUGGAGACAGAGCACAUACGGGAACAUGGGAGUCCCUUGCGUUCCUCUUUGGGUCAGUAGCAGAGAAGACAGUGUAGACGAGAACAAAGGUACCGAUGAUCUCAGCACCUAAUCCAGUGCCCUUGCUGAAUCCAGUAGCAAGUUCAUUGGCUCCACCACCGUACUUUGUGUAAUACGACUUUUGGAAAGCUUUCACGAGUCCACAUCCACAUAUGGCCCCCAGGCACUGAGCCACC
rnacentral:lncRNA from 1 species